rnacentral:rRNA from 1 species
UCGAACGGCAGCGCGGGAGCAAUCCUGGCGGCGAGUGGCGAACGGGUGAGUAAUACAUCGGAACGUGCCCAAUCGUGGGGGAUAACGCAGCGAAAGCUGUGCUAAUACCGCAUACGAUCUACGGAUGAAAGCAGGGGAUCGCAAGACCUUGCGCGAAUGGAGCGGCCGAUGGCAGAUUAGGUAGUUGGUGAGGUAAAGGCUCACCAAGCCUUCGAUCUGUAGCUGGUCUGAGAGGACGACCAGCCACACUGGGACUGAGACACGGCCCAGACUCCUACGGGAGGCAGCAGUGGGGAAUUUUGGACAAUGGGCGAAAGCCUGAUCCAGCCAUGCCGCGUGCAGGAUGAAGGCCUUCGGGUUGUAAACUGCUUUUGUACGGAACGAAACGGCCUUUUCUAAUAAAGAGGGCUAAUGACGGUACCGUAAGAAUAAGCACCGGCUAACUACGUGCCAGCAGCCGCGGUAAUACGUAGGGUGCAAGCGUUAAUCGGAAUUACUGGGCGUAAAGCGUGCGCAGGCGGUUAUGUAAGACAGUUGUGAAAUCCCCGGGCUCAACCUGGGAACUGCAUCUGUGACUGCAUAGCUAGAGUACGGUAGAGGGGGAUGGAAUUCCGCGUGUAGCAGUGAAAUGCGUAGAUAUGCCGGAGGAACACCGAUGGGAAAGGCAAUCCCCCUGGACCCUGUACUGGACGCUUCA